UGCGUAGGCGGGCUAAUAAGUCAGUGGUGAAAUCUCUCGGCUCAACCGGGAACCUGCCAUUGAUACUGUUAGUCUUGAGUUCGGCUGAGGUAGGCGGAAUGUGUAAUGUAGCGGUGAAAUGCUUAGAUAUUACACAGAACACCAAUUGCGUAGGCAGCUUACUAGACCGACACUGACGCUGAGGCACGAAAGCGUGGGGAGCGAACAGGAUUAGAUACCCUGGUAGUCC
rnacentral:rRNA from 1 species